CGCGACCUCAAAUUAAAGAUCCACAAUAUUGAGAAAUCAUUAAAAAUCAGGUCUUUCCUGCAGUAAAUAAUCUUCAGAAUUACGCACAAUCUCACCCCGGAAACACGGGAAAUCGCCAUUGAGGGACUCCAGAUUUCAAACCCCGGACCCCCCUACAAAGGCUUGCGCCUUCGGCGUUCGAUAUAUCCCCCCCCCCAAAAAAAAAAAAAAAAAAUUAUAGUCUGGCUACGCCACUGCUAACAGUUAUUAUGGUUGUGAAGCAAGGGGAAAGUUAUGUCGAAUUUUCAUAUGAACGGUUAACAGCAUCAACAUACAUUGCUGGAUUAUAUGUUGACGGCCAAAAUCUUUACCCUCCGAUUCAACCUUCCCUGUAAUAACUCUUCUUUUGUCAUACCCAACUAACUUUACAGUUCUUACAUUAGCAGAGAAAGAGAUAACUAAUAAUAAAGAGACUACUAUACGUUUGUGUAAACUAACAUGUGUCUUUUUACACUAGUACAGUAACUUUAUAUCCAGUAAAAACACACAUGGU